AUCUUGGACCUGGCAUCAAAAUGCGAGAGGCAGCAUUUACACACGCCUUGGAAAAGGCUGCCACUCCUGGCCGCUUUCUCGGAAUGGUCAGCCGACCACUAUGGGAGCCUGCGGAGCUCUUGGACAGGAGAAUGUCAGGGCAAGCCUGCAGGCGUCUCCUCUAGGAGGGUGUGGUGGGAAAGAAGCCCCUAACACAAGAAAAAAUUGACGCUCUAACUGGUUUCAUCAUGCGAUACCAACAUGCCCAAGCCAUCAUCUUAGCCAUCCAGAUGUGCUGGCAAAAACGGCAUGGAAGAAAAGAGCCAUGGACAGCCCUGUCUGCAAGGGAAUGUGUGCGAGUGGUGCGUGUUGGGAAAAAAAAUAAAAUAGUAAGUUUCAUU